AGGGUUUGGCUUUGACCAGACGUAGGGAUGUGCGUGGCAAAAGCAAGCUAAUGGAACUUUUUGUUCCGUCUAGACAUUUUAGGAGCAAUGUUGACAAUAAACGAGGCAAAGAAAAUCCGGCAGAUUAAGUAAGAAGGCAAGUCUGAUAACCACAUGCAGCAAUAGGAGGUGUGGGAGAGAGACUGUAGUAUUUCUCUGUGUUCCAGGCUGCUUUAAUGGGCCUGCCUCUGUCUUCUGUUCCCUGUCAUUGACGAUUUUUAUGAAUAUGAAACAAAUGUUGGCUGGAAAGCAACCUUUCUGGAAUUUGUAGUACAAUAUGUGUUGAAUGGAUUAUGGAGGCAUCUUUUAAAAAAUCCAGAAGGAUUUCCUUUCUAUACACGAUUUAUCUCUGAGUGGCUGGGAUUCUUUGGUGUUUGGUUUUUUAAAUUAAAAAAAAAAGUGAUGAAAGAACAUAGAGACUGAAAACCCUGCAUUUAACUUGGCAUUUAAUUACUUUUACUCAUCCCAACAAGGCUUCCAGGGCACACAAAUUGAAGAAAAGCAGACCAUCACUUCAAAUGAAUAGUUAGAAAUUGUUCAUGUUUUCUCUAUAGCAUUGAAGAGAUGGAAGGUACAUCUCAAGAAUAAUUUUAUAUGAUGACAAAAUAAUAAUGCUGCUACCUUUGCCUGUAGCUUUCAGACGUUCAAGCGUUCCACAUUCUUUAUCUAGUUAUUCAGGGGUAGACAGUGGCCACGUGCACACAUGUUUUUCUAGAAUCAAUUGGCAUGAAGUACUUGGUUAUAUAUAAAAUUUCUAUGCUGCCCUUCACCCGAAGAUUACAUGGCAGUUUACAGUUUGUAGUGUACACACAAUGUAGAUCUACUGCGUAUAUUUUGCCCCUGAAAAACACAUCUUGAGAAACUAGUUUGAUUCCAAAAAUGAAAGCACGUUGCAGAUUAAUUCUGCAUUGACCUCCAGUGUGUCCAGUUGAAAACAAAUGUAGCGGUUCCAGCAAUAGUUUGUGUGUGUGUCUCCAUACCUUCCCAAUGGCAUUGUGGGUGGGUGUAUAUCAGUAUUGCAGUCGCCACAUCCUUCUUCAUUUAUCUGGAGGAAAAGUUGUGGAUCACCAAAUCAAGGGGAGGAUUUGCAAAUGUAUGUCAACUGGCCAAAUCCACCCUUGUAGAUGGCAGUGUGUUCAUGCAGAGUAGAGAUUUGAACUGGGUACUUAUCAUCUACUGUGCUAUGCUAGUUCUCACAUCUAAAAUGGAAAUCUAUUUAGUAUUAAAGCAUAUUCUUUCCCCCCUCCCCACAUAACCCAUCAGCCGUAGUAAACUUGGCUGGUGGUCAGGGAUGAUGGGAGUUGUAGUCCAACAACAUUUGGAUGCCAUCAUGUUGACUACCUCUUCCUCAUGGCAGAAGUUGUUCUCUCCUACCUCAUGAGUUCUCCUGUCAUAAUCAGCAAUAGGCAAAAUUACUUCCUUUCUCCUUUUGCUACCCUGCUAUAUGCAAACAGAUUAAAGAACAUUCCUUGACCCAGUUACUGUUGUAUUUUUGAAAAUAGGCACAGUGCAUGUCAGUUGAUGGAUUUAUGCAGUGGAUUUGUAUGUGAGUCUUGUGUGAUAAUGCACGGAAACAGCUAUGAUAUAUCCUACUAACACAUUUUUUGAAAACGCUUUCCUAAAAAAUAAUGCAACCUUUAAAUAUAGUGCAAACGUAUUUAUGCAUCUUAUGCAUCUUCUUUCUCUCUCUCUCUCUCUCUCUCUCUCUCUCUCUCUCUCUCCCCACACACACACUUUAGAAGUGUGACUGAAUCUAAGAUUCAAAGUUUUGUUUAAAUGGAUAGUCGAUGCACAUUUGUGGGAGAGUUGAGCUGUGCGUGAAAAGCUUCCAAUUCUCUGAAUUUCAUUGUCCUUGGAUUGCAGUGGAAGUUCCCUGCAAUGCAUCCUGGUUGAUGUGUUGAGACAGCAUCACUGCCCCGAGAUUUCCUACCCGCCUCCUUAUAAGCAGGUCAUUGCUGUUUGUGUUGGCAAAGCUGUAAAGCCUUGUGUAAGGCAGGAGGAGGCAGGAGGAGGAGGUGUUGGCAGCGUAUCAUGUGACUCUGCUCCAGACUCAUAAACAACCAUGUCAUGUGGCCUGUCCAGGGCUUCAGCGUAAAAGAAUAUGAAGGGACCUGCGUCUUUUAUCUCUUCCCUUUCAGCCAUUAGGAUGAUUCUUAUAUGUACAUAUUACGAGACUGAUUGAUUAGUAGAUUAACCAGGUCUCUUCUCCCAACUUCUUCCAAUUAGUUAUAUGGCUGUUUCUUUCCCUGGUGUGUUUUGUUGCGAAGACUCGCAUGCUAGUGUUUUUUUGGUCUUUAAAUGCAGGUUUUAAAUCACCAGCCCCAGUUUGUGCCUCUCUCCCCCACCCCCCUUUUGGUAAGUUGUCUGUCUAGAUUCUAGAAUAUUGGGGAAGAAGGCAUUCUUCAUAUUUCAAGGGCUUCUGGUUUUCUUUUCAAUAAUGCAAGUCACAGUACCACUUGUAACACUACCUGUAUGUUGUUAUGUACAAUCGGGGCAAACGUAUUUGCAUAAGCACAGUUAAUGAUGCAAAUGAAGAAAAUUCAGUUUGGCUUGAAACAGUUUGUUAUAGUUGAGUUUCUAAACAAAAGCGGAUGCCCCAUCAGUGAGCUACAGCCUUCCACGAAUAUUGAGAGAGGGCAAAGAGAUAUGGAUGGAUUUCACCAACCAAGUGUGCCUACAAAUCCCAUGUCCACCGGCCCCCAGUCAGCAUGGCCCAAUGCCAAAGAUAAUGGUUCAGCAAAAUCUGGAAAGCCAAAGGUUCACAACUCCUGCAUUAGACUGUUUUGGAUCAGUGGGCUGCCAUUUAGAGCAUUAAGUUUAAAGUUUCAUUAUUUUUGAACAUUUACAGUUUGAAAAGCUUUUGGCAGGAGGGUUUUUUUUUAGUUCAACCCUCUUAAUUCAUCUAUAAAAAUGCUUUCCUUGAAUUUGGUGGCUUGUGUCCAGCUAAAUGGUUUUUUGGAGUGGACCUAUUAAAAUUAACCAACCCACAUUAAGUCACAUUUAUACUGUACAUUCAAAGUGCUAUACUGUAACUACAUUUUAAACAGUCAGGACUAUCUCUCUCCCCCCCCCCCCGAUAAUUCUGGGAGUAGUAGUUUGUUAAAGGUGCUGAAAAUUGUGGGGAGGCCCCUGUUCCUUUCAGAGGCUACAAUUUCCAGAGUGGUUUAACAGGCAAACCUCCUUCCCAGGAAAUUCUAGGAAUUGUAGCUUGGGAAGGGAACAGGAGUUACCCAGCAACUAUCAGCAACCUUAUCAAACUACAGUUCCCAUAAUUCUGUGGGAGAUGCCAUGGUUCUUUAAAGUGGUAUCAUAGUGCUUUAAAUGUAUGGUGUGAAUGUGGCCUUAGUCAUCCAUGAAUUGCAGUAGGUCUCCUGUGGAGUAUGACUAACAUUUGAUGCAACCCUAUAUCUCUGCCUACGUCCCCAUCACUAAUCAUUACAUUAUACCCUGACAUAUGUUUUUUGUGGGGUUUUUUAAACCCAGCAAGGGAACUGUCCAUGUUUUUACAUCUAAUGAAUUACCUCUUUUGGAGCCUCCAGCAUAGUCUCGCUUGCAUAAGGGGUGCUGCUGCUGCUUGAUUGCUACCCAGCCCUCACACAUGGGUAUCUGCAAUACUCAUCUCUACUUGGGAACAGUUGCCUUAAUCCAGGGAUGAAAGAGAGGGUGGGAUGGCUGUUUUUCAGCUCUUUCUUUUAUAAUGGGAGCUGAAUUUACAAGCAAAAUAGGACUGGUAUGACUCUAUUGCUAAUUAUCCCCGUAAUGACUUCAGCCUAUGGCUCUUUUUGUUUUGUUUCAGGGGUUCCUAAUUGUUUGCAAAACAUGUUCUGAGGUUGGCAUCGCUUGCCAGAACUUGCUCUGGAAGCUUUCCUUUCUUUUCAAAACUCGCAGAUGAGUUCACUUCACUUGAACUUGGGGUUUUUUUGGGAGGGGGUUGCGACUUGGUACAGAGCUGCAUGUAUGUGGGGCCGUCUGUGUUUUGAAGAAGGAAGCAUUCUAGGAUUUGGGUAAGGGUUAGGGUUAGACCAAGUGUGGACUUGGACACCAUGGCAGCUUAAUUGCAAAUGAGGUGGUAAAACUGUUUCAGGAAUGCACUGCUUGAGACUUUGGUGGAGAAAUUUCACAUUAUUAUUUUUUAAAAAAAGAAAAACAACACUUCCUUGCGUGAGAAGGAGGUACCGUUUAUUGGUGACUAGAGCAGUUGUUUUGCAUGCAGAACGUUCCAACCUCUUCAUUUCAUAAAGCACAUAAUGGGAAAGGUCUGUCUCUCCUGCUCCCUCAUUGCCUGAGACCCUGGAAAGCUGCUGCCAGUCAGUGUUGGCCUAGAUCAGGAAUAGGGAGGUGCCCUGGCCCAUCCCCCUCACUGGCCCUGCUCCCUGCCCUACAGGAGUGCUUUUGCAUUACUGGAAAAUGCCCUUGAACCCUGAUUCUGUCUUAUCCCAACUUGCAGUCCUCCAGAUGUUGCUGAUCUACAGCUCCCAUCAAUGCCAGCAAACAUGGCCAAUGGCCUGUUAAUGGUAUUGUCAUUUAGCAACAUCUGGAUGGCCAACAGGUUGCCCACACUUGCCCUUUGCUUGCCUAGGAGGGACGCCUGUGUGUGGAAACCUCUGCCUUUUCUGUGGUUGGAAUAUAGUCCUCUGUAGAAGUCAUAUGCAUUGUUCCACACUCUGCUACCUGUGGCCCUAGUCUGUGAGGCUGAAAUGGGCCAGAAAGACAAAUAAUUAGCCCCAUGCAGCAUGGAAGGCUGAGUUAGAAGCUGGGGGUGUUUGGAGUUGUAUUCCAAAACACAUCGAGGUUAUCAGAUUGGGGGAAGGCUGAAUUAGAAGCUCCUGGUGGCCAAAUGCAUCUUCUUGGUUGCAUUUCUCACCUAUUCAAUAAUGUUGUAUUGAAUAUAGUUGGGCAAUAUGUUUUAGUACUUCUAUCAGUAUUAUAUGUUGAUAAGCAGUAGCAGGGAUUGAAAACUUUUGGCCCUGCCAGAAGUUGAUGAACUACAACUCCCACCAGCCCUGGUCAGCAUGGCCAAUGAUUAUGAGAGUUGUAGUUCACAUCAAAAAAAUUAAAGCGCUAUGGUACCACUUUAAAUGGUAAUGGCUUUCCCCCAAAGAAUUCUGGGAGCUGUAGUUUAAGAGUACUAUAACUCGGUGAAGGGGAGUAAGGAUCUCCCAAUAGUUCUCAACAGCCUUAACAAACUACAGUUCCAGAAUUCUUUGGGGGGAAUCCAUAACUAUUUAAAGCGACUUUAUAGUACUUCAGAUGUAUAGUGAAUGUGGCCCUGGAGGGCUAGAGAUUCCUUCAUGACUUACAGCUUGACACAGUACAGAAGAUUUAAAAACGUCUCCUACCCCAAAUUGUACACUUUCAGCCCAAACCAUUUUAAAUUAACAGAACUAUAGAGAGAAACAAAAAGUAGAAAAGGAAUUAUCUUUCAGACAUUUUGAUGUGGAGCUGUAUAUGAGGCAUGUAAUUUACACAUAAAUGGUCUCUGGUACCAGGUCUGAGAUGUACUGCCAAAACCCACUUUGUGUGUUCGAGUUUGGAGACGCUGCCUCAGUUAAGGCUUCUCUUUUGCAAAAAAACAAAAACAGCCCCGGGUUUGUUUCUCCCUGGGACACAAACCUGCCUUGUUAGGAAAUCAGCAAAGUUUGGGAGCCCACAAUACCUCGCAUAGCUCUGCACACAGCAACAAAGUGUAAAAAUGGGGCCCUCGGCACAAACAAGCAGUGGAGCGAUAAAUAUAGAAUACCGUCUCAAUUCCACUUUCAUUAGUCAUGGCCGGACAGUUGAGAGUUUAAUAAACUUAUAAGGAAUAUUGAAACAGCUUUGCAUUUAAAGCAACUCAUCAAGUUUUUAUAGUUGGUGGGGUUUUUAAAUUCAUAGGAGGAUCUCCUUCCUUUUUUUAGAACAUCGCCACAAGAAACGUGGAUUAACGGAGAUUAUAAAAUAUUGAUAAAAUAUAUGUUCUGUACAAGAGUGUGCUUUCUUUGCUUUCUCUCACACACAUAUACACACUGUCUUUUUCUCUUCCCAAUCUCUUCUGGUAAACACCAAAUGAUAUGUCAACCUUGUAGCAAUAUUAAAUGUUCCACCUGGUGGAAAAAAAUUUCUGUCACACAUUUCAAGUUGUUAACCUCCACGGUCCUUAGAGGCCUUCAGUCUCCUUAGCUCAGUCCCAUAAGGAAAGGGCCCAGUAUCUUUUCCUUAGUCGGGGAGAAGUCUGCUCAUAGCUAGGGGUCUGCUUUUGAGAAUCAUUUGCCACGUGGCCUGCUGCUUAAAUGUUUUGGGUGGGCGACAGCAUAGCUGUAGGCUCUAGCCGUGUGGCUGACUGAGAGUUAGCAUGGCUUGGGUGUGGUGAACCUUUGGCCCUCUAGAUUUGCUGGACUACAACUCCCAUCAGUCCCAGCAAGUAUGGCCAAUGGCAAGGGAUGAUGGGAAUUGCUAUUUCAUUUAAAGCUCACUUCCCACAAGACAUCCGGAAGCAAUUUACAAUACAAAGGCCUAUAUAAAACAGCUGAAAAUAUAAAAAACAACUUUCAAAUAUUCAAGAUACAGAAACAUUUGGAAUGUCACCUCCGACCCCAUCCAAGGAUCUGUCACUUGCCCCAACAAAAGUUGAAUUUUUGUAACCUUUUUUAAAAAACACCCCAAUAAUACUGUAUUUAGCAAUAUAUGCAAGACUGUGACUUACUUGAUCAGUAUGAGAUUUCUUAACUCUGUAAGGAAUUUGUCAGUGCAAAUAUCUAUAGUGACUUUAUUAUUCCCCCCCCCCC